UACGUAGGGCGCGAGCGUUGUCCGGAUUUAUUGGGCGUAAAGAGCUCGUAGGCGGCUUGUCGCGUCGGCUGUGAAAACCCGCGGCUCAACUGCGGGCGGGCAGCUGAUACGGGCAGGCUGGAGUUCGGUAGGGGAGACUGGAAUUCCUGGUGUAGCGGUGAAAUGCGCAGAUAUCAGGAGGAACACCGGUGGCGAAGGCGGGUCUCUGGGCCGAUACUGACGCUGAGGAGCGAAAGCGUGGGGAGCGAACAGG
rnacentral:rRNA from 1 species